CUGUGAUGGAUUCCGCACGGCUCCAUCACUCCCUGACAGACCACAAUGAUGGCCACGAUCCUGCUCUACUUCCUGCGACAGAUACCGCACAGAUCCUUCAUUCUCUGGCGAGUCGCGACAACGGACGCCGCUCCACUCCCCGUAACAGACUCCACGUGGCAUGUCCCGGUGAUAGCCACGAUUCCACUCCACUACUCUUCGCAACAAACUCCUCCUGACCCCGGGCAGCCCACUGCC
rnacentral:lncRNA from 1 species